GGAUUAGAUACCCUGGUAGUCCACGCUGUAAACGAUGAAUACUAGGUGUGGGAGGACUGACCCCUUCCGUGCCGCAGUUAACACAAUAAGUAUUCCACCUGGGGAGUACGACCGCAAGGUUGAAACUCAAAGGAAUUGACGGGGGCCCGCACAAGCAGUGGAUUAUGUGGUUUAAUUCGACGCAACGCGAAGAACCUUACCAGGAUUUGACAUCCAACUAACGAAGUAGAGAUACAUUAGGUGCCCUUCGGGGAAAGUUGAGACAGGUGGUGCAUGGUUGUCGUCAGCUCGUGUCG
rnacentral:rRNA from 1 species